rnacentral:tRNA from 1 species
GGGGGCGUAGCUCAGCUGGUUAGAGCGCCGGCCUGUCACGCCGGAGGUCGCGGGUUCGAGUCCCGUCGCUCCCGCCA